AGACCCAUGGUGUAAUUGGUAACACGGCAGAUUUUGGUUCUGUAAUCCUAGGUUCGAGUCCUAGUGGGUCUA
rnacentral:tRNA from 1 species